rnacentral:lncRNA from 1 species
UGGACCAAACUUUGUCUGCUUUGGACUCAUCUACAUGAUCAUCCGGUUAUUGUCUUAUGGAUUCAUAGUCCUCUUGUACUUGUGACCCUCUCCUGAACGCUUUCCAACUUCUGUGUUGUGUAGGAUGUUUUGUAGUCCACUCAGACUGACAUGAAGAUGCAGUACAACUUGGUUGUAUUGGCCUCUCUUGGAAGAGAAUUAAGCCUUCCAAAAUUUUGGGACUAGUGAAGUUUUAAGCACUCUGAAACAAUUAACAUUUACUUUUAAUUUGAGAGUGUUUUUCAAUAACAGUUAAUCUCUUUGCUGGUUGCCUACUAUUGAUAUUCAUCCUGAAUUUUCUGAUUAUUAGAACAGAAGUGUAGGGAUAUAUUUAUAAUAUCCCUUGUACAAUAAAUAGAAUAAAUAUUUAUACAGUGACAACACUUGACUGUUUAUCCUGAAAUUUGAAAGACCUUUCCAAACACUAAAGCAAUAAAUCAGGUGUGCAGAGCAAACAUUUUAGACCCAAUGUGAAGGAGGAAAUUGAGACCAUGAGAAAUCCAUGCAUGAUUUGCCUGAUAUGACAUAUUGGAUCUGAGGCUGAACUGAGCAAAGAGCUUGUGGGAUUUUUUCCUUCAGUCUUAGACACUGUUCCUGUAAAUUUAAAAAAAAAUUUUACUCUUCUUCAUCAUGGGAGAAAUACGUCUACAAAAUGGUUUUCCAAUAAUGGGCCAUUUGUGUUUCAUCACACUCUGAUUAACAGAUCUUUGCAUCCCCAGAGAGGAAUGGACCGGUGACAGUGAUGCUACAUCACCUCUUCUGAAUGCAGGAGCUCAGUUUCACUUUUGGCAGCUCUAGGAUGAACCAGUGGAGUUUCCUUGACUCCAGUGGGGAUCAAUUCCAUUUGGAGCCUGUAGCGACUGAUGUCCAGGAGAGCCCGAGCCACGUGGCAACAGGAAGGUUUGCAUGAUGGCUGAUGGCACAUCCUUCCAAAAGGAACUGGGAAGAAUAAAGAAAGACACUGAGGCCUUGGAAUGUGCCCA